rnacentral:rRNA from 1 species
UGAUGCCUACGGGGCGCAGCAGUGGGGAAUAUUGCACAAUGGGGGAAACCCUGAUGCAGCGACGCCGCGUGAGUGAAGAAGUAUUUCGGUAUGUAAAGCUCUAUCAGCAGGGAAGAAGAAAGACGGUACCUGACUAAGAAGCCCCGGCUAACUACGUGCCAGCAGCCGCGGUAAUACGUAGGGGGCAAGCGUUAUCCGGAUUUACUGGGUGUAAAGGGAGCGUAGACGGCAGCGCAAGUCUGG